UACAGAGGCCUCGAGCGUUAGGCGGAAUCACUGGGCUUAAAGCGUGUGUAGGUGGAUGCCUAAGUACCUUGUGAAAUCCCACAGCUUAACUGUGGAAUGGCUGGGUAUACUGGGCGUCUUGAGCCACUCAGGGGCUACCGGAACAAGCGGUGGAGCGGUGAAAUGCGUAGAUAUCGCUUGGAACGCCAAUGGUGAAAACAGGUAGCUGGGGGUGUGCUGACACUGAGACACGAAAGCCAGGGGAGCGAACGGG
rnacentral:rRNA from 1 species